UAGCUUCUUCUUCUCUCUCAAUUCCCUCUCUCACAGUUACAACAUCACCACCAUGAAUCACCUCCCCAACCCAUUCCUGCUGUUGUUUUAAAUCACCACAGCCCCCUCCCUCCUCCUUUUUGGUCUUCCUUGUUGAAAUAAUCAAGAAGGAAGCUUCAGAAGGCCACCGGAGUAGCCUCCUGCCACCACCGAAUCACCCUCCUGCCGGCCAUCACCCACCACCCACUGCAACCUUCAAACACCCACUGUCACCACCCGAGAACUUCAUCCCUAAGCUGUCAUUGCUAUUAAUUUCGAUCCCCAAAAGCUUCUUCACAAUUCCUUCAUCAAAAUAUUGUUGAAAGAAGGAAGAACGAAGGCAGCAGCACCGAACUACCACCUCCGUCAGCCCCCGUCGCAGCUCACAGCCACCACCAGCACCGCCGGUUUCUGCUGCUGCUCCACCUUUGUGAGUCAUCGCCACCCUCCCUUUCAUUUUUAUUUUGUUCUCAUCGAGUUAAACAAAUCAAGGACCAUUGUAUAUAUUUUGGUUGUGCCUUCGGUCUAUCACGAAAACGAAGAAGACAAACAGGAGGUUUCCCUCCUGUUUAUGAAUCAGAUACACAAACAUGCAUGCGAUUUUGCCACAUACAGUCCCCCAAAUAUGAUAUUGUCCAGAUUCAACCCCUUACUCCCAAAAACUCUUUUUAAACUAGGUCCUAAGUCCUAAACAUACAUUUGAAAUAUUCACAAUCUACCCAAAAUUCGAAAAAUCCUUUCAAUAGAAGCUCAAAAUGUUAAAAUAGAAAUUUCAUAAAUUCAUUUUUACAUAUAUACACAUUUUUAUAUUUGAUUGUUGUUAAAUCUUCAAUUAUAAAAUUGUAUUUUGAUUUAAAUAAAAUUUUGGGAUUUAUUUAAAUAUUUUGGGAAAAUAAUAAACUAAAUUUUUAGAAAAAUUUAUUUAAAUGGAUUAUUUAAAUAAAUUUUGAGAUAAUAAACAUUUAGAAAAAUUAUAAAUCAUUAUACUAGUUCAAAUACCCAAUCUCUACCAAAUAUUGAUUUAUAACAAAUAUUUAUAGGAAAUUGGAUUUAUCCCGGAAAUCACGACCUCACGGCAACACAUCUCGACUUUCAGAACUAAUCGUUAACCACUCGAUAAGGUGAGAGUUACGGCCCCUUUUCAAUAUUUUAUUUAUUUUUGGGGAAGAAUACAUGUGUUAAAUAGUAUUUAUUAUGCAAAUACAUAAGUCUUAUAUGAUAUGCAUGCUACAAGUUUAAAGUUAUAAAGACUUCCAUAUCUGAAUACUAUCAUGCAUAAGGCUUUUCACACUUAUACAAGAUCGUUAUGUUAAAAUACAUAACUCUAUAAGAACGAGUAAUUUAUACUUUUAUAAAUACGUCAACCAUACUCGACUUUACAAAUACUAUACUACGAAAUUCAUUAUGCCCGGUACUUAUCUAUAAUUAAGUUAGGGCUGAGAGUUAUUCACAAACUUUUCGUUAAUGGUUUUUGAGUGAGACGCUACUAUUCAUUAGCUGAGUUUAAUCACUUAGCCUGCCCCACACUGCUAUAAUCGUUAAUCUUCGGAGCGAGUUACAUAUAUAUAGAUCUAUAUGGGGUCGACAACCCCACCUGCGGUUGCUAGCUACAACCAUCGACUGAUCAAUCGAAGCAGGUGAUAUGUGUCUACGAUCGUUACUAUGAUGUCCAAUGAAGCGUCGUAGGGAGGGGUACUUUUCGUUUAUAGCUCGAUUAUAGAACUCACUAAAAACAUUAACACGAAUGUCUCUCACUUUUUCACUACAACCAUAGGUUUGGUUGCUUUCAGAACUAUUUUUAAGUAUACUGGUUACUUAUACAAUGGAUAUAUUUAAACUUUCAUGAAGUUAUUACAAACACGUUUUCUUUAAAAGCAUAGAUUUAUUUAUAAAAUUACUUUUUGGCUUUUAAAGACUCAUGACAAGCAUUGUUUCAACUAUUGUUAUACAAGAAANAAAAUAUACUUUGGACUUUUGAAAGUAUUAUUACUGUGGCUAGCAGAAAACCUGUGACUCUCGCCAACCUCGUGUUGACUUUCAAAAUACAUGUAUUCUCAGGAAAUCAGUGAAAUUUCAGGCACACUCAGACGAUGGAAAACAUGGCUCGCAAGUACUUUAAUUUUAUACUUUUGAACUAUUAUGCCUAACUGUUAAGGCAAACUCGUAUUAUUAUCUUAUUACUAUCUGUAAGAAAUUUGUAUGAAAACAUAAAUAUGUAAUGAAAUGUUGUUUUGUUUAUUGUUGUA
rnacentral:lncRNA from 1 species